rnacentral:misc_RNA from 1 species
GAUGAAGAACGUAGCGAAAUGCGAUAAGUAAUGUGAAUUGCAGAAUUCAGUGAAUCAUCGAAUCUUUGAACGCACAUUGCGCCCCCUGGUAUUCCGGGGGGCAUGCCUGUUCGAGCGUCAUUUCACCACUCAAGCCUCGCUUGGUAUUGGGCAACGCGGUCCGCCGCGUGCCUCAAAUCGACCGGCUGGGUCUUCUGUCCCCUAAGCGUUGUGGAAACUAUUCGCUAAAGGGUGUUCGGGAGGCUACGCCGUAAAACAACCCCAUUUCUAAGGUUGACCUCGGAUCAGGUAGGGAUACCCGCUGAACUUAAGCAUAUCAAUAAGCGGGGA